rnacentral:rRNA from 1 species
GAUGAACGCUGGCGGCGUGCCUAAUACAUGCAAGUCGAACGAGAGCCGUUGUAGCAAUACGACGGUUCUAGUGGCGAACGGGUGAGUAACGCGUUGGUGAUCUGCCCCGAAGUGGGGGACAACAGUCCGAAAGGACUGCUAAUACCCCAUGUGGUCACAAGGGUUAAAGGCUUUGUGACUAAAGGAGUAAUUCGCUUCGGGAGGAGCCUGCGUCCCAUCAGCUAGUUGGUAGGGUAAGGCCUACCAAGGCUCAGACGGGUAGGGACCUGAG